GGCCCUGAGAGGGCACCGCGUGUCCCUCAGCCACCGCGGGUGGGCCGGCGUAAGGAAGUUUCCCGCUCUGCGUGGCGAUAAGUCCCCAGACAUCGACAGAAAGAAGGCGUGCGGCUGGCUAAGAUCCAGACCUCUGCCAAUCCAAAACCCACCAAAUGCAUUGCAGCCAUUCUGACAUGGAGUGACAAGACUCAAAAGCGCCAUUGCAGGAAGCUGACAUGGAGAAGGGGACGUAUGGCAACUUACUCCGUGAUCAUUGUUUUCUCAGCGACAGUUCUGUCGCAGAUUUCUAGAAAAGAAAAAUACUCCAUUGGGUAGAACGAAGAACACUGCUUACAAACAAGCAUCUCAGGGUUGACCUGUGCACGUCUGUGGCUCUGUGUUUGGGGAGAUCGGGGAAAAGGCGAUACUUCUCUGACAUGUAGUUGGAAGGAGGGUCAGUAGAAGUACUAGAAGGACCUCCUGCUUCUACCUAGUCAGCUGUUUUUGCUAUUCCUCUGUCAAACUUAGUGAGGUUGGUAAUGUGUUCAAAUGUUGUUGAGAAUGAACUAAUAUAUACGCACACAUAAAAAUAUGGCUUGGCCUCCUGUGUCUCGUUGUCUUACAAGUUCUGCUUGCCCUUGCCCCAGCACUUUAUUUGGUAACUACUUGAGGGUGCGUGGGGUGUAGGUGGGGAUGAGGAGAAGGGUGAUUCAGGGUUCUUUCUGGCUCCCAGUAAGAAAGGCCUGAUAGUGAAUGGGUAGCUGCUUUAGGCAGAAAAAGAAGAGGGAUACAGAUAGUGAGUAAAUUGCACCUCCCUUCAGAUGCUGUGUACAACAUGUUCAGAUAGCAUUAGAGCCUGGAUGGAUUUUUCCCACGUUCUGCUGCACAAAGCAGAUCUGACCCUGCCUGAGGAGAGAAGCUCUCUCUUUUGGCCACUUGAACUAUUGUGCGAUUUCCUUACAAGAAAACAUCUCUGCUCCUGGAGGCUGUUCUCAUAAGAGCACCUUGCCAUGCUGCACAAUGAGGGCAAGGCCAGGCAGGUGGUGCAGGCAGUGGGAGCUGCCCGUGGGCUCCUGUUACACAGAGCCGGCUGUGGUGAUCGCACAGCAAGCAGCCUCUGCCGUCCUUGAGAGCUGCGCCCCAGGCACCUGCUUGGCACCACUGAACCCUAUGUGUGCAGCAGCCCCUCGGGUGAGAUCGGUACCUCUCAGGGAGAGCUGGCUGCUGUGCCCCUUCUCUGCUUUGGAGAAGGUUGGCACAGGAACCUCAGGCUCACAGCACUGGUUCUACUGUUUGUUUGCUUUCAAAAAUGACAAUGAGCUGGAGCCAGCUGCAGGCAUGGGUUGGCAUAUUAAAGCUCAGGCGUUGGUACCAUCAGUCACAUGCUCUAAGGAGUCACUUUGCAAACACUUCCACACAUUCUUGAUUCCCAUGAACAAUGCAGCUGAAACCUACUGCAGCAUUGUUUAAUUCCCUCUUAGGGGCGCGAACCUUGUGACCUAAUGGGCAAGUAGUGCCCAGAAGGAUUCUAGGUGGCUGUUUUGUUACUGAAAUGAUGUGAAAAAGAUGUUCAUAGCUCAAAUAAAUAACGUUCAGAAUGCUUUUGCAUUAGAUUUCCUUUGAAAUGAGAAAUCAGAAGGAAAAUUGCAAGCGUGUCAUACCCAGCCCAUACACCUUUAAAGGAAUCCUCUCCCAGCAUUCCCUGCUCACUUUAUAUGGGGGCACUGCAUAUAAAGUGCUGCAAUAUAGGGAACUGUUGGCCUUAUUAGCAGUUUUGUCUCUGGUUGUUCCAUCAUUGAUGGUGAGUUUCUUUUGCUCCCACACAGCAUGAGGACUUGUUACAUCUGGUCAGGAUUCUGUGCAAGGGGAUGUGGUAUAGUACUGCUUUUCAAGUGGGAUUCUUAUGAGGCACUUUGGAGUUUCUGCUCUGCCUGUGAACUGAGAGUGUGGAAAGGGGCAGAGAUGGGAUGGCCAUAGUUUCUUGAAGUGAUCUCAUCACAUUAAGACAGUACAUAUAUGCACAAAUGCAUCUUAGUCCUUGGAAAUCCAAUUUAUUUGUUUGUUAAUUUUUAAUGGCUUAAUUGUGGAUGCAUUCUUCUAAAAAAGUGGUUGCUGUUAUGGACCAGCAUUUGUAAGCUCCUUAAGGGAAACUUUACUUUCAGUCCUGGCCUAGGUGUGCUUGAUCUACAGGUAAAAGCUUGGCACAGCUACUGGGCAGAGAGCGUUAGGGCAUAGUAAAAGAAAUAAAUGAAGGACAUAAGCGUUAGUAUCUGAUACUGUCUUUGUGUGAAGGUGCACUGCAAGAGAAAGAAAAAUGUAUGAUGUUGCCAUCGGUAGCCAUUCUCCCCAUGCCUAUUGAAGUAAGGCUUAAAUGUUGAAUUGAUUUCAAUAUAAGGGCUGAAGUCUGAAUUAAGGGCAAAAGUCUUAUAAAAUGUACGUGAAGGUCAGUGAUUGUGGGAAUUGAACAUAUAAUUUUAGUUACUUUUGAAACUUGAAUACAGAUUUCAACAGCUCUUCUUUAAUGCAAAUUUUCUUACCUACCUUGCAUACCAAAUAGUGACCUCGUGAUCCGGAAUACAUUAACAAAAAUGUCAGCAUUUUAAACUAAACAAUAUUUUCCAAGUUCAUGUUUAAUAUGUGAUUAGACCACGCUCUACCUUUUGAAGAAGCAGAUCCCAACUGGAAGUUGUUCCUUAACUGGCCUUGUAGAAACAGAAAUGCAGUUAUAAAGUUAGAGAUGCAAUCUCUCGAGAACAAAGCAAAGGCUAUGCUGAAUUUGUUGUUAUAGGUGGGUAGGUGGAGGAGGAAGAGAAAUGAAAAAUAAACAUUAAAAUUAAAAAAAGAAGUCCCUGACUGGAAGAACACAGUAACCUGCCAGCUGUAUACAAAUGACAAAGUAAACGAGAAACUUCACACUCUACUUGGAGGCACAGGUUUCUUUUUGAAGAAGUCCCUUACAAAAGAGCAAGUUGGUGAUUUGUACUUGCAUUCUGGACCCUUUUCAAACCCCUGUCAAAGAAUGAUAAAUUACUGAAGGAUAUUUUGAAGUAACAUCUCUAUCUAGGUGUUCUUUAGUGGCUUCUGAAGUGUUUAAUGCUGAAAGGUUUACUAUUAAUUGCAAAAUAAUUUGGAAUUAUUCCCUAAUCGUUAUUCACAAAAAAAAAGCAAUCCACAUUCUCUCCCAUGGAUGAUUGAAAUGUUACUGUUCCCUUCUUGCACUGGAGCUACUGGUACUUGGGAAGAAGUGCUGUCUUUUUUAUCCAGCCACAACUAGAAGUAUUUUAUUUCCUUUAUUCAUGAAGGCACUAUUGAUGGCUCAAAGAAUAAAGCAGACCUUCAGAAAACUCACUAAAAACAAAAACCUGAACAACCUUAUCACAAGAUGCGGUACCCUAAACUUUAUCCUUGUCUUGAGGUCCUGAAAAAUCUGUCUUAUGUGCAAUAACAUCAGAGUACCUGAACACUCAUGGUUUAUUUCUUGGCUGACUGCAAAUAAAAUGAGAAGCUAUUUUAUAAACUGAUGCAAGUAUCCAUCUAAAGCUGAGCUGGGUUUACACACUGGUCUUUGAUUAACUGGGAGCGUUGUUGCGGAAUGUAAACAAGUUCCAACUUCACUGCCUGCGAGAGAUUUCUCUUCCUCUACCACAUACCCCAUGCUAUGAGCUCGAUAUAUUUUUUUUUUUUCACUUUCCUGGCUAAAAAUGGGCGAAUACGGAUGGUACCAGGUUGGGGGUAAGCGGAUGGGAGAACAGGAGUGAGCAGUUGGAAGAGGAUACACCUCCAUAAAAGCGUUUGGAUUUCCAGUCUGUUUUAAAGAGUAGCUUUAGAUAGGAGUUAAAAUUCUUUUUUAUUGAAGAAAUCCUUUGUGCGUGGUAAAGAGAUGUAAAAACAAAGGUACUGCAAGCAGGGGUGGGGAACAGAGGUAAGAAGUGAUGCGGCUGCAGGCUGGGCUGGGGCACCAGCUGAGAGCUUUUCACUGGUGACAGUGCUGCCCCUCAGGGCUUUUCUUCUGUUUCAUUCCCCACCCCUAACUGUCAAAGUGUCACCCUUACAUCCCUUCAUUUCAGUCCCACGAUUCAAGAUGUUUUGGGUAAUUUAAAAGUCAGCAGCUGACUUUUUUACCCAGCGACUCUUACUGCAGUUUGGCAUUUGAAGCUGACUGCCUUCUGAAAGGGCCAGGUCAUUCUCACCAAAUGUUUCUCCCUUCCCAGCAUUACUUCAACCCUUCUUUUGCCAUGACUACAUAGCUGCAGAUUGCAGUUCUUCUACACCUGCUUACCUACCAAUUAGUUUUGCUGUGUAACCUAGUGAGCUGCUGCUCUGAAUUAGUCUUGUGGCGGUCUCACAUGCUUUAUUUUUAUUUCU